UCUUUCUGUAAACCAAAAGCAGUGCCCCGUUUUAGAACAAAGCUCUCCCAUAAAGAGUUGAACAUUUCCAUCUGAUAGAUGACAUCAUGCUCAGAGAGGACUUGGUAAAUUACGAGGACAUACUUGACAUUAGAGAGAUGAUGAAAACUAGAAAAAGAAAACUAUUAACAUUCUAAAGAGAAAAACAGCAAGUAAUUUAGAUCAUAAACUAGCUAAGUCCUUCCACUUUGUUAGGUUAAAGUUUAACUUUAAUUGAAAUGGCUCUGUCACAAAAGGUUGUAUAGAUAAACGAGUGAGGAGAUUAUAUUACAGAAAUCUAUGAAGUAACAUAUUUCAUUAACAUGGAUGUUUCUAGGAAGACAAAGAAUCAAUUCAAACCAAGCAGAGAAAAAAGUCUACUCUGGAAGCUGCUGUUUAGGUAAUAUCACUCCGAGCUUCUAAGACAAGAACACUGCAUACUGCAAGAAGGAAAGAGAAAGACAUCCACCCCUCCUGGCAAGGAUACAUCUACAACUCUGAGACUGGAUAGUGGGACUUACUAGUCCUACUCUGAAGUGCCACUAACUUCUGCACAUCCCUGAAGAAUUCUCAGUGUGGGAUGUUAGAAUAUAUCUAACGUUCCCCAA